CCUACGGGUGGCAGCAGUGGGGAAUAUUGGACAAUGGGCGAAAGCCUGAUCCAGCCAUACCGCGUGUGUGAAGAAGGCCUUCGGGUUGUAAAGCACUUUCAGUGGGGAAGAAAGCCUUGGGGCUAAUACCCUCGAGGAAGGACAUCACCCACAGAAGAAGCACCGGCUAACUCCGUGCCAGCAGCCGCGGUAAUACGGAGGGUGCGAGCGUUAAUCGGAAUUACUGGGCGUAAAGCGCGCGUAGGCGGUCUGAUAAGCCGGUUGUGAAAGCCCCGGGCUCAACCUGGGAACGGCAUCCGGAACUGUCAGGCUAGAGUGCAGGAGAGGAAGGUAGAAUUCCCGGUGUAGCGGUGAAAUGCGUAGAGAUCGGGAGGAAUACCAGUGGCGAAGGCGGCCUUCUGGACUGACACUGACGCUGAGGUGCGAAAGCGUGGGUAGCAAACAGGAUUAGAUACCCGAGUAGUC
rnacentral:rRNA from 1 species